rnacentral:rRNA from 1 species
UACGUAGGGGGCCAGCGUUGUUCGGAAUUACUGGGUGUAAAGGGUUCGUAGGCGGUGCGGCAAGUUGGGAGUGAAAUCUCUGGGCUUAACCCAGAGGCUGCUUCCGAAACUGCUGUGCUUGAGUGUGGGAGAGGCGCGUGGAAUUGCAGGUGUAGCGGUGAAAUGCGUAGAUAUCUGCAGGAACACCCGUGGCGAAAGCGGCGCGCUGGACCACUACUGACGCUGAGACGCGAAAGCGUGGGGAGCAAACAGG